CGCGGCCUAUCAGCUUGUUGGUGGGGUGAUGGCCUACCAAGGCGACGACGGAUAGCCGGCCUGAGAGGGUGACCGGCCACACUGGGACUGAGACACGGCCCAGACUCCUACGGGAGGCAGCAGUGGGGAAUAUUGCGCAAUGGGCGAAAGCCUGACGCAGCGACGCCGCGUGGGGGAUGAAGGCCUUCGGGUUGUAAACCUCUUUCACCACCGACGAAGCUAACGUGACGGUAGGUGGGGAAGAAGCGCCGGCUAACUACGUGCCAGCAGCCGCGGUAAUACGUAGGGCGCAAGCGUUGUCCGGAAUUAUUGGGCGUAAAGAGCUCGUAGGCGGUCUGUCACGUCUGCCGUGAAAACCCGAGGCUUAACCUCGUGGCUUGCGGUGGAUACGGGCAGACUAGAGGUAGGUAGGGGAGAACGGAAUUCCCGGUGUAGCGGUGAAAUGCGCAGAUAUCGGGAGGAACACCGGUGGCGAAGGCGGUUCUCUGGGCCUUACCUGACGCUGAGGAGCGAAAGCAUGGGGAGCGAACAGGAUUAGAUACCCUGGUAGUCCAUGCCGUAAACGUUGGGCGCUAGGUGUGGGGUCCUUCCACGGAUUCCGUGCCGUAGCUAACGCAUUAAGCGCCCCGCCUGGGGAGUACGG
rnacentral:rRNA from 1 species